CCUACGGGAGGCAGCAGUGGGGAAUAUUGGGCAAUGGGCGCAAGCCUGACCCAGCAAAGUCGCGUGAAGGAAGAAGGAUUUCGGGUUGUAAACUUCUUUUGUCAGGGAAGAGUAGAAGACGGUACCUGACGAAUAAGCCACGGCUAACUACGUGCCAGUAGCCGCGGUAAUACGUAGGUGGCAAGCGUUGUCCGGAUUUACUGGGUGUAAAGGGCGUGUAGCCGGGGUGACAAGUCAGAUGUGAAAUCCUGCGGCUUAACCGCAGAACUGCAUUUGAAACUGUUGAUCUUGAGUACUGGAGAGGCAGAUGGAAUUCCUAGUGUAGCGGUGAAAUGCGUAGAUAUUAGGAGGAACACCAGUGGCGAAGGCGGUCUGCUGGACAGCAACUGACGGUGAGGCGCGAAAGCGUGGGGAGCAAACAGGAUUAGAUACCCCGGUAGUC
rnacentral:rRNA from 1 species